CAGUAGCCGCGGUAAUACGUAGGUGGCGAGCGUUAUCCGGAAUUAUUGGGCGUAAAGGGUGCGUAGGCGGCCUGUUAAGUAAGUGGUUAAAUUGUUGGGCUCAACCCAAUCCAGCCACUUAAACUGGCAGGCUAGAGUAUUGGAGAGGCAAGUGGAAUUCCAUGUGUAGCGGUAAAAUGCGUAGAUAUAUGGAGGAACACCAGUGGCGAAGGCGGCUUGCUAGCCAAAGACUGACGCUCAUGCACGAAAGCGUGGGGAGCAAAUAGGAUUAGAUACCCGCGUAGUCCCUGUCUCUUAUACA
rnacentral:rRNA from 1 species